CAAAAACUUUAUGGGUUCAGAUUGAGUUACAACUCCUAACUCGUAAUGUGCGCCGAGCCAGAAUUUUAGAACUGUUUAUCUGAUUUGAGUGUGUGUAAAUAUCAGUGUAGACAGGAAUAAGCUGGGCACUUAAUCUGCAAGUCUACUGAAUAAUUGUAGAACUGUAUAUAUAGAAGAACAUAACCCUCUACACCUGAGAGUGCAAACUUGGAAUUGUCACACAGAGACAAAAAGCAGCAAUUAUUAUUAUUAUUAUCGCUGGUUUGUUACAGUAGUAGUAAGGGACUCAGUGCACCCCUCUCUAUAGCCAGCCUGUCUUAUAUUCUAAAUAAAUAAGGGCUAAAAAGGAAAUCAAGGUUUCAGUAAUGAAUUAUUCUGCCCAGUCUCUAAGCAGCUCAGGAACAGUGCUUCAAACUGAACCCACAGCUUCUGCAUCUCAGACUCUUCCCUCAUUCCUUGAACCUUUGAUGUCCUUUCAUGUUCUCUGUUACUUACAACGUUUCACUCGCUAUAUUGGUUAAAAUCUCCACUUGAAUCAGGGAGAAAAGAAACCGCUGAAAUUUUAUUCACUUCUAGAACAAAUUAUUCAAACUUUUCUGAAACUUGAAAAAGGUUCUGCUUAGUUUGAAGCAAAGUUGCAGUCAGAGUUUUACUUCAUCUGAACCCUAUCUUACUCCAUGAAUUUAUUUAUUGUAAUUUCUAUUGAUUCUUUCUGCUCUUCUCCAUUGAGUAAUCUGGAGGUCUGCAAAGGAUGGAUUAAGACUUUGAGCUAACAGGCAAUUUUAGGCAUUUAGGCAUUUUGAUUUAUUUUUCCAGUAUGUUUACUCUGAAGUGAAGCUUUGUUUGCUCCCUGAAUAGCGACCAUCAUUCUGAUUUUGUUAUUGCUGCUUAAAAAUUGUUUCUGAAGAUCCCACACGUUUUCUCCAGUGCAUUGAUGAUCUGUGGGUAAGCAUUGAUACAGAGAUCAAAUAAAUGCUAGUUCAGAAAGCAAAAUUACCAUUCCAAAAGACUGUCCUGCUUGUAUCAAUUUAGUAAGCUCAGAUUUAAGAAGACAUUCUCCAGGGCAAUGCUCACCUGCACAUGCAUGAGUUUUAGUGAAGCCCAUGGGAAUGGAACAGCACUAUCUGGUUCCACUUAAGAAGAAAGUCCAUGUCUGGGGGAGGAGGACACAAUAUCUUUGUGUCUUCAAGACCAAACACUGAUUUUUUUCAAAUUGUUCACAAUUACUCAACUUUGUGUUGGCCGGCACAAGGAUGGAAAGGGGGAUUGUAACAGGUGGUGGCUGCUGUUGGAAUAGAUGUGAUGAGGGUAUUGCCUACCUCCCACUUGUCUGACCAGCGCAUGCUCAUGGACAGAGUAUGAUUUGCAACCAACUUAGUGCUGUGGUCUCCUGGAUCCAUUAGCACACCUCUUAGCCUGCUGAGAGGGGAAUAACAGUGCCAGAUUUCUGCUUGACCUGGCAACAAAAUCGGAAGCAAAUCCUUUUUUUCUUUUCUGAACCUGAGCAAGUGGCUGUUUGACAGGGUCUCCUUUCUUCUUGUAAAGUCCAGAGAGAGCAGCGAGCUUUACAAAGAAAAGGUGACACGAGUGAACGGGCAGUGGUUGCUUCUCACUGCAAUGUAGCUGAAACAGGUACAGGGAAUGCAAAGCUCUGAUACUUUCUGUGCUGGAAGAAAUACUCCAAAUAUUCUGAUUUCUAGUUAAUUUUUCUGCCUUUGUAUUUGCUCUGUGGAAGGAGAACCUGCAACGGAUGAAUUUUACCAAGGAACCAACAUCAUGGAGGCAUUUGAACGUGCAUCUCCAUGGCUGGUGAGUGCCUUACCUACCGUUGGUUCUGAGGUUUAUUUUGCUUUUGAACAUAAAAUCUCCUUGAAACUCAAGAAAUCGUCCUGACAAACACUAAUUCAAAACUGAUACGUUUCCACACAAUAAAUUGGUUUACAUAAUCAGUAAUUUCCAGGGAAAACCUGUUCAGGCAAAAAAGUACGCAGGUAUCUCUAUUAAUUGACCUAAUCCUCCACUGCUGGUGAUAACUCAGCACGUGUUAGAUAAGGCCUGCUCAGCUCAUUAAAAGGACAAACUAUCCACAGAGGAGCUUUGGUUUGUGACCAUUAUCUGUCUGAGCGAUUCAUCCUCUACUGCACCAUCCUGUCAAUAGCCAACUGUUUGGCUUGCAUGUUUCUUUUUAAAUAUUUUCUCACCUUUUCAUUAGUCAAUUUUCAUCUUCCCCGAAAACUUUCCUAACCCAGUUAACAGAGGAAACAGCAAUCUGGUAGCUUGUUGGCAAAUCAGGUAACUUUUCUGUGGUAAUUCUUACUGAUCUUCAAAGAGCAGGGUACCCUGCCAUUGGUUUCCCAGCACAACUGAAUUUCUCACUAAUCUCAUCCCUGGCCCAUUUCAAACAGAUGUUUGCAUUUAUGUCAGAUACGCACUAAAUUGGAUACUUUGGGGUGGAGUCCAACACCAGCAAAUUUUCUUCUGACAGUUGUCAGUUGCAUUAUUCAAACCAGCCUAAUGCUGUAUGGCUUCAUGCACAAAAAUGUAAAAUGCUGAUAAUAUCCAUUCCCUUUCUUCUGUAUCUUUGUCUUUCUCCAUUAUUAUAAUUCUGUCCUCUAGCUUUUUUCUCUGCUGAGCUUUCAGGGACCUUCCUAAUCACCAUUAGACACAGUGGGAGAACGGGUGGCAGCGGCGUGGGUAAAAGGCUGUACUGCAUCAUCUUCAUGAGUGACGGCACAACCCAAGCAGCAAACAUAGCUCACUCACUCUGGGGAAAAACUAUUUUAUUUUAGAUAUAGAUGUAUUUAUAUUUAUGUGCAUAUGCUUGUAUGCAUCAAAUAUUAAUUUCUUUUAUUCUAAUUUUCUCUCAUUUGCAUCUCUCCCUGUGCCUCAUCAUUCUGGGGCUGGGGUGGCUUUGCACAAGCGUUGCCUUUGAGGUGGCACAGAGCAAUAUCGUCCCGGCAAAGAAACUGUGUCUGCAGGAGGCCCAAUUCUCACUCUCUUCCUCCCUGGCCCAGGGUGACCGGACUGGGCUGCUGCCCACAUGUCACCCCACGUGCCAGCCAGCCAGCGCUGCAAAGCGCUUGGAUUCAUGUUCCCCAGUGUAGAGGAGCCAACCUCCGAUGCGGAUGGUGCCCUGCGCCCCUGAGCGUGCCAGGCUGCACGGCCGUGCCAAGCGGGUUGAAGCCCACACAGGCAGUCACAAGGAGGUGUCUUGCAAGAACCUCAUGCAGAUGAGAGCAAACCUGGGAGCACACCCUGACCCAGGCCACGAACCAAGACCAUGAUCCCAAAGAGGUGAUGUCCAAGCCUAGAUAUUAGAUGUGACACAAACCACAUCCGAUUAUUAGCCCCUAUAAUUUGUAACAAAUCUCUCCAUUCUUUUUGAUCUGUAUAUGAGGUCCUUUAUGUCCUUAACCAGGGAAAAAAUCACCUUGCCUCCCUCCAUGCUAUAUUGGAGGCCACCAGGUUAAUUCCAUGCUAUAUGCAUGGAUAAAAAGGAGGAUAAGAAGAAAGAGUAGGUCAUGCAGUGGCAAAGGUUGAGAGGCUCUGCUUUAAACACUUUAUGGGAAAUUGUAAAACUUCUAAACAACUUAAUAGAUUAACUUCCCCUUUCAGUGGCAUCAGUAAAACUGAAUUAUCAUCCUCACAUUUAACUGAUGCCUACACCCAAUACUCAUCCAUCAGGGAUCAUUUAGUGAUAAAGCAAUCAAUCCUGCCAUGGUGCAGAGGGGACAAACUAUGCAAGAUACCAUCACCAAAUAUCCUUUCCACCCCAAAGCAUUCUCUGAGUCUUUGUCAAUGAAAGUGCAUUUGUCUAGUCUUAUCUGCUGCUGUAUGCGUGGAAUACAAAGGAAAAAAGUAAAAUAUGCGUUUGAUGUACAUGUGCAGGUGCCAGACGUAUUAUCAACCCAAGGAGGACUGCCUUUUUUCCAGGAACUGAACACAGCACCUGAAAACCAACCACUGCACCACUACCUCAGGUACCAAAUUAAUAGAAACAAAAGCAAACAUGAAGCUGCCUUAAAAUAAUGCUGUGACAUGUGAAGGAUUUGAGGGAACAAUGAGAGAUAAAGUUGAAAAAAUGCGUUUCUGCCUUAUCCUUAUUUUAAAAAAUCUUCUGUGACUUAAGCCAGAAUCUCUAAAAUUCUGGUCAUCUUUUCAUCAUCAGAGCAGGCAAAGUAUGCUUCCCUUUUUUUGACUCCUCACCAGUAACAUUUUUGGGUUUGAUGUUUGCCUUUCUGAUACAUUAAAGAGUUAGAUAUGUAUUGAGAUUACAGCUCAAAAAUAAUUGGGAAAAGUUUUAUAAUUAUUUUAAUCAGCAAGUGUGGUUUAUUAAGGUAUGUAUAAUGUGUACAACUCUAUCAUUUGAACAAAUAACUUUAAAAUAUUUUUUUACUCAAAAUAUCCCAACUCUAAGCAAGAAAUUGUCUAUUUCUACUACAAAACAGGUAGAUUCUUAGUAAUAGGAAACAUGUAUAACUUAUUUUCUAAAACAGAGGUGUUUGAUUUUCAUGCUAACUGUAGUAACAUUUCGGUAUUAUUUGACUAUAAGGUAAAAAAAUCAGAGUAAGUUUAUUUCUCAGCCAGAUAUGAACUGUACUAAGACCAAACUCCUUGGACAUUUUGUGAAUGAUAGCAUGGCUACUGGAGCAAAAGGAAACAUUUCCCCGCUGCUGCUUAGGAGUUGGGAUUUUCAUCAACAGGUUCAGGCUAAAUUAAGAGGUUCAGUGUAGCAGGGUUCUUCAAAGGCUUUGUAGUUGUUCAACUCCAAUUAAAAGUCAAUUGAAUUGGACACGUAAUUCCCAUUUGUGUCUAUGAAAAUCUUUCUUCUAUAAUGUACAGUGUUACAAUUCUGGGCUGAAAAAACAUGUACACAGAAAUGUGUAAAGAAUGCAAUGCAUGUACUUGUUUUGAGGGGUACGGAAAAUAACAGCUUUUAUAUCAAAUGCUUAGCAUUUACACAAAUAACCAGAUAAAAGUAAAUCAAGAUCUUAGUAUCUGCAUUGAUGUAUGUGAUCUAGCACCCAAGAAUUCAUAUGAUUUUUAUGUGUUCUAUAUUGUGUGCCAAAGGGAGCUAUAAGUAGCUCAUGGAGGAUAGCCAGUACAAUACGGACCUGCUGGUGACACAGAACUGAGUAUCUUUUUAAGGGAAUUAACAGGGGCAGCAACCAUAGUGGGGCUCCAAAGUGAUGACAAUAGAAAAUUCUUCGGGGAAGAUAGUCUGACUCUGCAAAAAGUUACUGACAUAUGUAGGACAGUAGAAACAGCCCAAGAGCAAAUGCAAACCCUAUCUAAAGAUCAUGUGGUGAAAUGUAUCAGAAGGAAUUACAGGAGAUGAAAAUGCAAAGGUAAAAUGUAAGGCAGAAUUGUGUGCCGCCUGCUGCAGAGAAAACUGACACACCGCAGCAAUCUGGCCGGGAAGAAGCCAACGGUGUCAGAAUUACAGGGGACACUGGAAGGGCCAGAACCUGAUAUCCAGUCAUCAAUACUUUUGAAUUCAUAUUUAAAUCAGGUUCAAGUGAUCAGACCAAAACCCACCCUGGAGGAUUUUGAUUUUGAGAGAGAUUCACAAGUGGAAGGACUUUUAUUUCUUGCUUCUGACUUGGAUGUGAGUGAAAGUUGCCAGCAGCAGCAGCCGCUCCCUGCAAGCUCCUGUCGUUUGGGGCUGAAAUACUGUCAGAAAUGUUCUUGGACUUUCAAUUUCCCUGGCUAGUGCUGAGCAGACCAAGCUGCCAGUCUGUGCACCUAAAGCAGAAUCCAGCAACCCUAAUACAAACUUCAGGCUUGUAAAUCAGUUAAAGCACCUGGUGACCACUGUGUUUCUCUCAGCAUCCUCUGCCGAGUCGAUCUGGUGUUAAAUACCACGUCCACCAAAGAGCUGCUAAUAGGAAGCGACCCACCAAGAAAGCAGUAGUCCCCCCACCCUGCCUGUGGUCAUGCAAAGUUCCUGAAGGUUCCUUCUUCAGUGGUUUUGACUGGUUUUAUGGAACCUGCGGAUAAACUGUCAUUAAAGAGACUGUCCAGGCUCUGAGAACACAAUAGUAACUAUAAGGAAAAUGAAAACACAUCCUCGAGGUGUGACUCUGUUGAGCACCAUUUGGUCAGCAGCAGUUUCAGACGCUAAAAGCAUGAACAAAAAGUCAGCCCCACUGCCUAAGAACUAUUCCUGCAAGCUUGAAGUCUGGCUUUACCCGGGCGGUGUUAAGCAAUAAAAAGCUCCUGCUAUCAGUAUGCUGAUCACUCAUUUUAUAGAGGACACUAACCAGCACUUCUCUAUAGAGUAAAUACAAGAAGCAUUUCUUAAUUUGGCUAAGCAGUCACUGGCUGAGCAGGAUUUCUGCCAAGAAUUUGUAAACAAUGUAAAGGAAGCUGAAGAAACAGAAACUUGCCCAGUAACAUAAAAUGUGGUGUAAUAUGCACACAUUCUCUGCGUGGACAAACAGGGUGGCACAGAGCAAUAAGGAAAUCAGUGAAAACCUCACAGUUCACACAAACUGUGUGAGAGAGAAGCAUGCGGAGAUGAGGAAAAUCAUUUCUGCAUGGCAUCAGGCAAGAACGGAAAGGCUCACCACUUUCCUCAGCCGCAGGGAUUCGUUACCUGGGUGCAGCCUGGACGCUCACCCGAAGCAAACCAAAUGUAAUUUUGGGCCCUGUGGAGCUCAAGGCCUAUCCUCAUUGUGCAGGGGGUUGCACUUUACCUAAAAAGAGACAAGGCAGGAGGAAUGUGAAGGAAGACACGGAGCCCAGAGGGAACCCCAGGAGCCUCCCACAGCUCCUGAGCUUGCUCCAGCUCUGUGCGGCCGAGGGCACACCUGCGAGCCACACACCCAGUUUACACCCAGCCCCUUGUGACUCCUGUGGUCACCAAAGUGCGAGCGGUAUCUGGAUGCACAGGCUGUCAUAAAAUCUUAUUCCAAUACAUCUUUCUCCAGGCAUCUCAUUUCUUAAAUAGUCCCCCCGGCCCCUGUGAAAACCUUUCUGAGAUCGACUUUUCAAUAUUUUUAACAGUAUUAGAAGCGACUUCUUGCCUCUGUGCAUACAAAUGAUUGUAACUAUCCCUGUUUAUCACUGUGACACAUAUGCGCACUAAUUAGAUAUUCUUUUAUACAUCCAAAUCCCAACUCUUUUGAAAAUCAGAGCCUCCGCUAAGCUCCUCGAAAUGGCUUCUUCCUCCCAGAGAACGCUCUCAAAGCACACCCAUCCCACCACGAGGAAAGGGUGAUGCUAAGGGUGCGAACCAAUGAAUGCUGAUGAAGAAAGCCAAAACAAAACAAGCUUUUGAGGCGUAGUGAUUUCUAAAUAUAAAGUGAGGCUGCAGACUGUAUUUUUACAACUAAGUAAAUGAAACAGUGGGCAGAAGACCCCAGGUGCAUGUCUUCCAUGCGAAUGAUCUUUGUGCUGUGUUACACACAGCCGAGAGAGCUAAAAAGGCACAGGGGCUGCCCAAUGCCCCGGACUUCGGCUCCUCGGGACCCGGCAGAGGACCUCAAGGAUGAAACACGCAGCAGCUGCUGCAUCGCUGGCAGGCAGCGUGCCCCUGCUCGCCUGUGCUUGUGGGGAAGCUGCAGCCUCUAUUCACCCCACACGCUCUGGCAGCAGGAGCCAAGAACAAUGAGAAUGAUUAAAGACCUUCUAGGAGAAAUACUAGGCUGGUCUUUCUCUCUGCCAUGCCAGUUUGUGCACUUGGGACUUGACGUGCUUCACAAGAAAGCAUUGGAGUGACCUUCAGCAGGUGCUCCAGACCCUCAAAGGGUUCAAGGUGCCACCAUAACAGCCUGCAAGGCACUUCCAUUCCUCAGGUAGCCCUGGGAACUGAUCCGCAUCAACAACUAUUAAUAGAGACUUGAAGCUCUCAGACUGACCAUCACCCUGGCUUUCAAACACUGGGCAGCCUAGAAGUCCCAACAGAAAUGGAUCUUUAAAGGAAAAAGAAAGAAGAGUGAGAAGCUGAGAAUCCUUUGCCUUUCAUAUAUGAGAGACAGCACAGAGAAGACCCUUAAGAGGUUUGUAGGAAAAGGAGACCAAAGAGUCCUGAUGCAGUACCGAAUAAAAUCAUAGGUACCUGUUCAACAUUCACAAUAUGUGACACUUUAGUGUCCAAAUUAGAAACGGAUGAAUUCCACUUGCUCAUGUUUACUAUCAGCCACAUCACUGAAUAUAUUUUAAAAAUGGCAGUGUUUUAAGAACAGAGUUGGAGUGAAGGUGCACAAGUUGGGAGAGUCAGUCAUCCCCAGUAUCUUUUUGUUUGGUUGGUUUUUGGCUUCUGUUAAAGCAGAUUAAAAGGGGUAAGCUCAAACCCUUAAUUAUGAGUUAAUUCAUCUGGUCAGUCUGAAUGGGAAAAGUAAACAGCAAAGAUGUAGAUAGAUGUCUUAAUUUGGAUAUUUGCUCACCAGUUGCCUUCAGCAUCUGUCAUUUCUACUUAAUGUUGUCCAUCGUGAAUACUCCAUGUUAUACUACGUUUUAUGUGAAACCUCUCCCCAUAUGCCAUUUUUACUUGAGAUACAUACAAAUUCCACUAAUUUCAUUUGGAACUGUGCAACUUAAUUCUUUACUCAGCUUUGAAAACCUAAAGCGUGGGUCCUUGUAACAUUAUCUUCAUGGCUGACAGCCCUUUCCUGCUCUCGCCGCCCACUUGCUUCCUUUCAGUCACACAGAUCAUCAGUCUUCUAGUUUUUGGUGACACGGGUAUCACUGACAUAUUAUUUCUAGUCACCUUAAUCUGCAGUUCUUUCUUUCUUUUUAUUUUCUGUAGCAUAUGCUUCCAUCGUUUUUCUUAUCAGACACAACUGUUUUAUACAAGCACUUUUUAGCCCAUAUUUUAGGCUGCCUGUGAUACAUUUCCUUGUGAAUAACCUUUUCCCAGUUUUAUAGAAUGAGAAGUUUAAGGUGAAUAUCCUAAAAUAAAAAAAGGAGAAAAAACCCCACACCUUCCUUCAAGGUGAGAUCUAUUCCACUGCAGAGAAUGUGCUGGAUGAUGCACUGCACGGGACAAUCCUGCCUUGCCAGGAAGAUGUACACAGUAGAGGUGAGUGGUUUUGAGGAGACAAUGCAGCUGUGUCUCUUAUUAUCCACGUUCUCCAUCACAGCAAGGAAGUUCUGCAUAUGCACGUUUAUCUCAAGAGUAUUCUGCCAAAAUGUAAUUGCUGCAGGUGUAUAAAUGGGCUGUCUUCUCAGGCCUUUUGGUAAGCUUUAAUUCUAUUUUUAUAAAAUCCCUUCUAAAAUAUUGCUCUCUGGGGCAGGCCCUGUCUGUAUGAUCUGUGUUUGUACAGCUCAGUGGGAUCUUGAUCUGUGACUCAGUGUCCUGGAUGCUAGCAGACAAAAAUAAAACAAAAAUAUAUAAAAAUGUUACUCACUAAGCCAAAGUUUCUACCAGGCAAAAGAUUCAAGUCCUAGACUUAAUAAAGUAAAUACCAAGAAAUUCUGACUAGUGUUUGUGAGGGAUGUAGUGCUGAUAUGAAAUCAUGCUCUGGCAACUGAUUUGUAACCAAUUUAUGAGCACAGGUUGUUACCUGCACACUAAGGGGAGGUUAUUGUACAUCUGGAUUUUAAGACUCUGCAGAACAGUUGCAAUGAUCAUACAUAAAUGGAAACUAUUUGAAAAAUGAGCAUAUAAUGAAAUAGCAUUCUCCAGAUGAGCACUCCAGAGGCAAUGCCUGGGGUAGACAUAACUGAAUAAUGUUCAUCUAAGGCAAUGUGAUAAAACUGUUUUGUACGUUGAAGAUCUAGAGAAGAGAACGCUGAAAUGUUAGAGAGGCUUCUGAGGAGGACAAGGAGGUGGACAGUCCCUGUGCUCUAGCAUGGAAGGAGGCUCUUCAACUGGUCUGUGAGAAGCAGCACUAUUUGGGAGACGCUUGUGUAUCAGGUAAGGUAAAUGUGUAUUCAUACACAGAGUGUUUUUAAGAGGUAAUUUCUCUAACUGGACAAGUGUGAGCGUUGAAUCUCUGGUUACUAAUUUUAUAGCCUCUGAAGAGAUUAAAAAUUCCCCAUCUACUCAGAUCUGUUAAAUCUCUGUUAACACAACUCACGUUCUAGUCUGAAGAUGGGAGGAUAGCGUGAGCCAUCCUGAAUGAGAUGACAACUGAGGCCAAAGCUCUGAGAAAUCUGCACCCAGAGGCACCAGGAGACCCAUGACAUACCAGAUAAUGUGAGAUGGGGUUUAUGUCCUGUCUUAAAAAACAGCCAUUAUAACUUUCUGCAACAUGUAUGGAAUUUUGCAUUUUUAAAAGCCAUCCUACGUGAACUACUUCAUCUUCUAACUCCUGAGGAAUGUGUGGUAGGCACCGUGGGCAAGCAUGAAUGAUUGUAGCAGGAUAUUAACACUUUGGUUCCAUGCACUGAAUACAAUGACAAUUUCCCACUGUCUUCACUGGAAAGUGGAAUGACUCCCCAGACGGGAAGCAGAAUACAUUCAUAUUCUUCCUUGUCUCUUGGAGAAGAACAAGACAAAGGAGGUGGUUCCAGGACUCCAAUAUCUCACACAACUCAACUACACCUGAUUAUUAUUUGCUUCUCACAACCUGAAAAGAAACCCACUACCAGAUUUGUCUGUCUCAGCCCUGCUGAAGCUGAAUACUUUCAUACAUAUGUAUGGAUAGCUUAAGUUUUUAUGAGCAUAAUUUGGGCUUUUCAAAAUAGUGACACAAUAACAAAGCAAAAUUGAGACAUGCAUGUAAUUUGAAUACUGAUUUGGUUUUAUCUCUUCCUGGUGCUGGCACUUUUGAUGCUGCUCUUUUCCAUUCCAUCUUCUUUCUGUUCUUAUUUCCCAAUGAAUGGAAUUAGUUGUGAGUGCAUUUGCUGCUUCUACCAACCAAAUAUGAAACCUGAAGAAAUAUGUAUCUAUGACCUCCCUAAGAGUUUUGGACAGUUACUCAUUUACUGCUAUCUCUUGAGUUUUCUAUCGAUUACUUAAAGACACAUUCCUGCUCCUCUUGUCAAAUAGGAAAAUGAGCACUGUCAGAUGGUUAUUGCCAUUUUUUGUGGUAUUUUCAAUACCCUAAGCCCUUAUUUUUAUUUACAGCAAUGCAGCAUUUCAAGGAGGUUACUGAAAAGAAUGCCUUUUGAUUGUAUUUCAGGUCAAAUACCCUCAGUGAGCUGUUUGCAUCAAUUCACAGACACAGGGCAGGAUUCCCAGUGCUCUCCUGGAGCGUGUGGAAGGAACUCCACCAGCCGUCCUGGGGGUCACAAUAGUCACAGUCACGUCUGCCUCUGCUGCUGGAUCAUCUUGCAAGUUUAGAGUCAUUAAAAGGUAGUCUAUGGUAGAGAACUAGGUAUGAUAAAACUCUGCCAUGUCUCCUCACUCUUUUUUGAGGUUUAUGAGUAGCAGGCAAAACCCCAGACCUGUCACACCUAUGCAACGGCACAGAGGUGCCUCGCAUGCAGCGGCAGGCAGAUCCAAACAGUUUAGCAUUGUGGAGAAUCUGGUCCUAAAAUCUAUCCAUAAAAAGUAGUCACUUAAUAAUUUCAGAAAGAAAACUAAAAAUGCUUAGGGGCAAUCUAUGAACAGAAAAAGGGGGUUAAAUUCACCUAAUAAAUUAUUUGCAGACUGAAUAAUUCAUGGAAAAUCCAGGGUGCAUUUAGAAGGGUUUGAUUUGGUAUGUCAGCCUCCUCUGGAGAGUGAAGCUACCUCAAAAACUCUGCAUAUUCUAAGGUAUCAUUUUGGGCAUGUUACCACAGCAGAAUUUCUGUCUGGAACCAGAUGCGUGGUUCAAGUUUCUUGUCCCUGACACCAGCCACUACCUUAAAAUAGAGAGAAAACUGCAAGAAAAAUCUUACAACUGGUCUAUUCUGUCACUAUCUAACAUUUGCCCAGGUGGCCAAGGCGGCCAGCAGCAGCCCGGCUCGUGUCCCAGACGGUGUGGCCAGCAGGGCCAGGGCAGGGACUGUCCCCCAGCACCUGGCACUGGUGCGGCCGCACCAUGAAUCCUGUGUUCAGUGCCGGGCCCCUCACUGCCAGAGGGACAC